AGACUUGGUUUCAUGUGCUUCAAGAAGAUCUUCCCUUCUUCCCAGAUUUUUUUUUCUUUAUUUUCCCAGAUUUGCAAAAUCUGAGGCAGGUUUUAUUGCAGAAGACCUAUGCUUUUUUGGGAAGCUCAUUUUAAACCUUCAUUCAAUUGGCUCAGCUGAAGUGAGAUCUUGAAUGAUUUUAGACAUUUGGGAAUGGAAGACAAGGUGAUGUGGAGACUAGAGCAUAGCUGCCUCAUUACUCUUGGUCUAGCCCAAGGUGAGAAACCAAAGAAGGAGGCUCAGGGAGAUCUGGAAAUACCAGGCCACUUUCCAUCAGUGCAGUGGAAUGAAAGAAAGUGCUACUGCCCAAUGUGUCAGAAACUACACCGAUUUUCAAUUAUGUUUUGCUCUUUUCCUUUUGCUCUUACUCAUCCUAAAUAAAUUUAUGACUUGUCCUGAGGCUUUUAUCAAUCAGGUGUGACAUUGUAAUCAGUGAAUGUCAAAUGGCAACUGAGGGCACUCAGCACCUUACAGGAUUGGGUCCAUAGCGAAAGCUGAUGUUUGAAGUAGACAUUGUAUAAUAGUUUUAAAGAUCUGCUAGAUUUCAAUAAGAAGUCUUUAGCUGAUGGCAAAGCAUGGCCACAUGGCAGUUUUAAGGAUGUAUUCUGAUUUCAUAGGAUGACUGCACUGGGUAAAUAAUCUACUAUAAGAUGUAUUUCCUGACUUAAGAUAAUACUUUACUUUCAGUGCUUUACUCACUCAUAGUUUGGAAAGUACUGCGAGCACGUAUAUAUUGGAUCCAGAAAACAAGCCUGCAAUUUUCGGUGUAUAUCUCACUUUUACUCUCACAUGAUAGCUUAACUUGUUACUACUUGAUUAUAAUUAGGUACUUGAUUUUCAUCAACAAUAAUUUCUGAGUGAAGUACUUCAUGUGUUUUUUAAAGCAGAUUUGCUUAAUACUGUUUCACUCUAGCCGAGAACAUCAACUUCUGUGCCUCAUUUUACUCAUCUGUAGUACGAGUAACUUGCCUACCUACCAAAUAGGUGUCCAGAGUCCAAAAAUACCUGUGUAGCAUUUUAAGCUCCAAUUGAUUUUAGCAAUAAACUACUGUG
ensembl:lncRNA